rnacentral:rRNA from 1 species
AGAGUUUGAUCCUGGCUCAGGACGAACGCUGGCGGCGUGCUUAACACAUGCAAGUCGAGCGGUAAGGCCCUUUCGGGGGUACACGAGCGGCGAACGGGUGAGUAACACGUGAGCAACCUGCCCUCAACUUCGGGAUAAGCCUCGGAAACGGGGUCUAAUACCGGAUAUCACUUCCUGCUUCAUGGUGGGGGGUUGAAAGUUCUGGCGGUUGGGGAUGGGCUCGCGGCCUAUCAGCUUGUUGGUGGGGUAAUGGCCUACCAAGGCGUCGACGGGUAGCCGGCCUGAGAGGGCGACCGGCCACACUGGGACUGAGACACGGCCCAGACUCCUACGGGAGGCAGCAGUGGGGAAUAUUGCGCAAUGGACGGAAGUCUGACGCAGCAACGCCGCGUGAGGGAUGACGGCCUUCGGGUUGUAAACCUCUUUCAGCAGGGACGAAGCGAGAGUGACGGUACCUGCAGAAGAAGGACCGGCCAACUACGUGCCAGCAGCCGCGGUAAUAC